rnacentral:rRNA from 1 species
UACGGGGGGGGCAAGCGUUGUUCGGAAUUACUGGCCGUAAAGGGUUUGUAGGUGGCUCGCUAAGUCAGACGUGAAAUCCCUCAGCUUAACUUGGGAACUGCGUCUGAUACUGGGAGGCUUGAGUGCGGGAGAGGGAUGUGGAAUUCCAGGUGUAGCGGUGAAAUGCGUAGAUAUCUGGAGGAACACCGGUGGCGAAGGCGGCAUCCUGGACCGACACUGACGCUGAGGCGCGAAAGCUAGGGGAGCAAACGGG